rnacentral:lncRNA from 1 species
AUUUAACUUGAGGAAGAUUAUUUAGGGUAGUUAGAACACUGAAACAAAUAUCUUAAUCAUACUUAUGUUUCUUUGUUUAAACUUACAAUCUGUGACCUAAAAUCCAAAUUGUAAACUAUUGAGAGAGGACAAUACCCCAAUAUAAGGCAGAGUUAGAGAAUGUUGGUCCCACUCCUGCUGAGGUAGAGCUCAUCCUCAGAGUCUAAUGGAAACUCAGCCUCUCAGCAGCAAGAUACAGGACUCAACAAUGGAAGAAUCCCAUGACUGACCAUUAAUCCCAAAGCUCUUCUC